GAUGAACGCUGGCGGCGUGCCUAAUACAUGCAAGUCGAGCGAACGGACGAGAAGCUUGCUUCUCUGAUGUUAGCGGCGGACGGGUGAGUAACACGUGGAUAACCUACCUAUAAGACUGGGAUAACCUCGGGAAACCGGAGCUAAUACCGGAUGAUAUUUUGAACCGCAUGGUUCAAAAGUGAAAGACGGUCUUGCUGUCACUUAUAGAUGGAUCCGCGCUGCAUUAGCUAGUUGGUAAGGUAACGGCUUACCAAGGCAACGAUGCAUAGCCGACCUGAGAGGGUGAUCGGCCACACUGGAACUGAGACACGGUCCAGACUCCUACGGGAGGCAGCAGUAGGGAAUCUUCCGCAAUGGGCGAAAGCCUGACGGAGCAACGCCGCGUGAGUGAUGAAGGUCUUCGGAUCGUAAAACUCUGUUAUUAGGGAAGAACAUAUGUGUAAGUAACUGUGCACAUUUUGACGGUACCUAAUCAGAAAGCCACGGCUAACUACGUG
rnacentral:rRNA from 1 species